rnacentral:rRNA from 1 species
CACGUAGGGUGCGAGCGUUGUCCGGAAUUAUUGGGCGUAAAGAGCUCGUAGGCGGUGUGUCGCGUCGGCCGUGAAAACCUGCAGCUUAACUGUGGGCUUGCGGUCGAUACGGGCAUCACUGGAGUUCGGCAGGGGAGACUGGAAUUCCUGGUGUAGCGGUGAAAUGCGUAGAUAUCGGGAGGAACACCAGUGGCGAAGGCGACUUCCUGGCCUGUUCUUGACGCUGAGGCGCGAAAGCCAGGGGAGCAAACGGG